CCUUAUGUUAAUUUAAACCCCAACCCUCAGUGCCCUCAAAUCUUUCCAUCAUUCUCUCAGUUUCCUUCUAUUGCUCAGGCUUGCUCCAAAUAUUAAGGUGCUUGAUCAUUACUUUGCCAUGCUGAAAGGUACUACUACUAGCUUCAGGCAGCUCACAUUCUUUCCUGUCUUUUUGUUUAGCAUCUUAUGGUCCAGCUUCCCAUUUACCAGUGACCCCAGCAGAAUGUAGUGGGUACAAGCUUUGGGUUCUCCCUUGGAAUCAUAACCUAAUUCUACUUUUCCAUCUUUCAGCUUCUCAUUAUUUUCCUGGUCUCUACCUGUCAAUAUCUGCACCCGGGUUACUGUGGCUGCCUUGGCCAAAACUACAGUUAAAUGACUGCCAGCCUUAGGUUCCAAUAUCCAGAGGAACCCUCCUUCAUCUAGGAUGUAGGCUUUUUGGGGAGAAACAUGAUUUAAAAUCUGCAGAUUACUGUAGACAGUCGCUUCUCUCCCUCUUUAUUAUUGAUCAUUUCAUACUUGGGUUUAUUGACCCUGCCAGAAUUGAAGGAGAAACCCAUUGGAGAGAAGAAGGAGGGGCUGAAUUGGAUGCGGUGGUUCUGGUCCAGCAGCUUUCGGAAGUGGUAGAGAAGUACUUCAGGGGGAGUCUCCCUGAAGAGGAAGAAGAAUUGAGCCAAUCUGGGGAGGUCACUGGAAUGCAAGAGUUUGCCAACAAAGCCCCAUGUUGAGAAUUCCAUUAGCACCCAGUCAUCACUAUCUCUCUCCAUAUGCAGGUGAUAAAGUUGGGCAAACAAUGGACAUGAUCUUCAAUCAUCAAGAAAUAGAGAGAUGGACAGCAAAGUUCAUGAGUAAGAACCUGAACUUCAUCAGUGUCUGUGAUAGCACCCAGGCUGAGGAGGAACCCCAGGAGAAUGGAUGCAAUAAAGGCCAGGAGAGAGCAUCGAGUGGAACAGUGCAUGGGGCUGCAGCAGGUGUUCUCUGACCUUGGACAAGCAUCAGACAAACCUGAAUCAAUUCUGCUCACGAAGCCCUGCUGUGAAUCAAACCUGCCACAUUGUUGCUGUUACCCCCUCAAAGUCAGGGCUACAGUACACUGUGUAUCCAUUAGUGUAAGUAUUGAGAUACUCUAGAGUGGAUCCAACACUGAGGGGGGGAGGGAGAGAAGAGAGGGGUCCAGCACCUCUUAGCCUGGAAAGCGUUUCCCUCAUUUUAAAAUUAAACUUUUCUUGGCUUCCUGA